GAAGGUGUAUCUAGAAAGACAAAUUAGAGCUUGAAAAAUAAAGCAUUUCAUUUACAUUGAAAAGUAUAUUGUGUAAUUCAAUUUAAUUUGAUAAUAAAAAUUUAUUAAUUUUUUUUUGUUUAAUAAUUUAUUUAAUAAAAUUAAUUUUAAAUUAAUUUUUUUUGUAUAGUAUAUAGAUCAAAUAAUUUAUAUAAUAGUUAAUUAGUAUUGUAAAAGAAUAUUGAAAUAUAUGAAAAAAUUUUAAAUUAAAAGUAAAUUUUAUAUGUUGUACCUUGUGUAUCAGGGUUUAUUAAUUAAAAGUUAAAAAUUUAAUUUUUCUCGAAUUUAAGAGGGUUAAUUUAUUAUUUAAUUUUUUGUUUCAUAAAAAUUUAAAAUAAUAAAUUAGAAAUGAAAUGUUAUUCGUUCUUUAAUAUAUCUAGUUUUUUAAGAAAUAAAUUAAAUUUAGAUUAUUAAUAAAUAAUUAUUUAUUUAAAUAAUAAAUUAUUAUUAAUAAUUAAUAUUUUAAGGGAUAAGCUUUAAAGUAAGUUUUAUAAUGAUUUUUUAAUUUAAAAAUUAUAGGUUUAGAAAUAGUCAUUAAUUAUAAAAAUGUUAUAAUUUAUUUUAAAUUAAAAAUAAUUUUUAUUGAUUUAAAUUUUUAUUAAAAUAAUUUUUAAAAUUAUAUAAGAAUUAAAAUAAUGAUAAAAUUAGUAUAUUUAAUUGUUUAAAAUAAAUAAAUUAAAAGGUUAAAUUAAGGAAUUCGGCAAAUAAAUACUCGCCUGUUUAACAAAAACAUGUCUUUUUGAGUAUAAUUUAAAGUCUAAUCUGCCCACUGAAAAAUUUUAAAGGGCCGCGGUAUU
rnacentral:rRNA from 1 species